rnacentral:rRNA from 1 species
AUGGCGUCCGGAUCCGCUUCUGCCGCCGGCGCUGGUCCCCUUGGGAGGGGCCUGAUCUCGUGCAUGCACAGCAGCAACUGCCGCGCCGAGGACGCGCCUCUUCUCUCCGACCAGGAUUUGCCCCUAGCCAUCGACAAGCUCAUCGUCGGCUUCUACGAGGAGGCCUUCAGCCGGCUGCCCUGCGACGCCAUGCCGGACCUCCUUCACCUCCUCACCGCCGACGGCGGCGGCUCCUGCCUCGGCCUCCUCGACCCCGUCUCCAACAUCAUCCUCAACACCCUCGCCCUCCUCCCCAAAGACGCCGCCCCCGCCCCCGCAGCAGAACCUUCCACCUCUCCGUCUCCGCCCGCCACAAGAAGAUCCGAAAGAAGCGGAUCCAUCCCCGGUUUUGGCGGCUGGCACGAGGUUGUAUCAAGAUCUUACCAUAGUCUUCUCGCCUUCCUCAUGGCGUAUUUCGGAUGCCUCAAAAAGGAGCAGGCCGUCCGCUACCUCUACAGGGCCGACGCCAAUCUCCUCCUCGCCGUCAUGCUCAUCCAACAUGAUCUAUAUGCGGACGAAGCAUUGGAUCCUGAAUCUGAUAGGACCCAAGCCGCCCUCGAGUACGCAGCCACCAUAGCAGGCCACCCUUCGCCCACCACCUUGGCUCGCCUGAUGUCAAUCCGGCUCCAAGACGACAACUUUGCCCUUCUCAAGAAGCUGUUCUCAGCUGAUGCUCAAGGUAUCCCUCUCACGGUUGAGGAUGUCCGGGCAACCCACCGCAUCCUACACAUGAUGAUGAGUCCGGUUUGUACUGCCAGCAUUAUCCAUACCAAAAGAGGGCUGGUUGUCCAUGUUCGUCACAUGCUGGAGGCUAGUUGCUCCGAAGCUAUAUCGUUCUCUACUACGACGGACGCCAGGACCGCCACCACCACCUUGGGCUGGGAUGGAAUCCCUAUCUCGUCGUUGCAGUCUGGAGUCCUGCCUGACAAGCUGCAAGAUUGCCUGGGAAAAGCAAUAGCAGAUGGCCGGAAACACAAUUUCAAGACACCAUGUGGCGGCGGCGACGCAUGCGAUUACCUGCAGUCUCUCAAGAUGUACCUCCAUGGUAUAAUUCACAACUUGUACAUCAAGGCCCUCAAGUUGCUGCCCACACCCUCUGGCUCGCUCAUGCGCAGCAUCCUCAAGGCCGGCCACUGCUACGGCAGCAUGGACCCUGUCUCCAACAUCAUCGUCAACUCCAUCUGGUACAACAGCUGUGGCUGCGAUCUUCCAGUUUCUGAACGAAGGGACAUGGUAGAGUACAAUGACGUCCUGGACCCCCUAUGUCUGCUCCGCGCACAGGUUCACUCCCUCAAGGGCCUUAUGGAGCUCGCCGCAUUCGCCGACCCCCAAUUCUCGGUGCCGGCUUGUGCUCUGGAGCUCCUCUGCAGUACAAAAUGCGACAUUGCUAGCAUGCCAUCAUCGACAGAGAGUUCUGAAAAGAACCCCUUCCAUGAGUCUGCCAAGGCCGCUGGACACACUCGGCCCCUUGGGCUGGGUGAACUGCACCAGCAGCUGCUGCUGAUGCCCGAUACACGAAGCGAGCUGCUCUCAUUCAUAACUGAGGCUCAAACUAGUGGUACCGUGUUGCGCAUCAACGACAUGACAAAUCGUAUUUCGCUCAUGUGGAACAGAAACAGAUCUGGGGCUCAAAUUAUGCAAGCUCCCGAACUUUGUGCGGGGGCAUUGAGGGCGGUGUCAAGCGAGAGAUCGGAUUAUGAGGAUGACAGGAGCUGGUUCCGUUCAAAGAUUGAACAGUUGCUCAAGGAAUACACGACCAAACAGUUUUUGGGAUCAGAGUAUAAACUUGAUACUAUCUUGGGUGUGGAUGAAAGACACAAAGGCUACUACCCGGGCGGUUAUAUUUGCUACCAUGUGAACUUCACGGCCACAUGUGAUUUGAGGCUUCAAAGGACGCUUUUCUACGCUGAAUUCUCGUCAUCCUCAUGUGAACCGGAGCCAGAAUUCUGCUGCCCUCUACCCUAUGCGAAUGCGGGGCGUUGCUACUAUGGCGUGCUUAGUGCGAGGAAAAUCGUGUAUCCAGAUGACGCCAAGUACAUCCCGGACGAUAUCACCAUCCGCGGAACCCGCAGCGCGGAUGGCAUGCUAGGGAUGGACCUGGUCUACUUCAGUCCCAAGUUGGACGUGGAGAUUGCUGAGAAUCUGAAUGUGUUGCACAGUGAAGAAGAAGAAGAAAAGAGGAGGAAGAAGAAGAAGAGGACAGGGAAGGGGAUGUGUCGUCCAAAUUAA